rnacentral:rRNA from 1 species
CCUACGGGUGGCAGCAGUGGGGAAUAUUGCACAAUGGGGGAAACCCUGAUGCAGCGACGCCGCGUGAGUGAAGAAGUAAUUCGUUACGUAAAGCUCUAUCAGCAGGGAAGAAACACUGACCUUACGGUCAGCAGACGGUACCUGAGUAAGAAGCCCCGGCUAACUACGUGCCAGCAGCCGCGGUAAUACGUAGGGGGCAAGCGUUAUCCGGAGUUAGUGGGUGUAAAGGGAGCGUAGACGGUGCUCCACGUCUGGCGGGGAAUGCCGCGGCUUAACUGCGGAACUGCUUUGGAAACUGGCGAACUAGAGUGCGGGAGGGGUAAGCGGAAUUCCUAGUGUAGCGGUGAAAGGCGUAGAUAUUAGGAGGAAAACCGGUGGCGAAGGCGGCUUACGGGACCGUAACUGACGUUGAGGCUCGAAAGCGUGGGGAGCAAACAGGAUUAGAUACCCGAGUAGUC